GUUAGGGGGUUAGGUCUUGGGGGUAUUGGAUUUUAAUUUUUUCCAGGUUUCUGGAUUUCGGUGCACUGGCGCAGGGGUCCGGGUGAUGCUGCCCACACUACAUUUCUGUUACUUCUGUUCCUCCUGUGCAUGAUCCCUUUGACCAUGGCUGCUGUCUGUGAUGGAUUAGAUCUACAAUAAUCUCUACCAGUAGAGAGAAGUCCCGCCCCCCAGGCCGAAUAAAAUUAAUAAAAUUCCCCGAUAGAUGCUUCAAUGGACAUUAAAGCCUAAGGGGAUCCGAGUCUUCAGCCUGUCAAUCCACCAUCCCUCUCUCCACCUUCGCUGGCCUCCCGUCCACGUCGCGCAGGCUUCAAGGCACAUAACGGCAAGUUGGUGUCCGGGGUGGGAGCGGAAGUGAUGGACUAGUGGAGUUUGUAGUUUUUUCCCCUGCCUGAUGUUAUGGAAGUGUUGUGUUAGUCUAGUCUGUAUUGUAUUUCCUGUUUCCCCUAUAUACAGUAGAUUACACUCCUGGCACUGUAUACAAUAAACUGCGUUUUUUUCUUUGAGGGAGAAAUUUCCAGUCACUGAGAUACCUCUGCCGCUAUGCGGGUUAUAUAAGAAUUUAACGUCUUUAAACGAGCACUGAUAUUGUGAUCUAUAUUUAGUUUUUUUCUUUUCGAAGGACGCUUUAACGAGUGCGUCCUUUAAAUUUUUGUUUCUUCUCAGUGCUGAAAUUAUUCUGCAGUCUUUUAGAGUCGGAUGGUCUAUCAUGAUGCGCCGGAAGUUAUUCUUCAAUAUCUGAUGUAGCGCCGUAUAUUGAUUGGAGAAAGUGGUGAUUAGAGGUAUUACUACACCUGUGUCCUUAUUAAUUAUCAGCGUCUGCCGAUUGCCAUUUUGUAGUGGAAUACCCGUUUGGACUGCAUUUGUCCUAGGAUGGAGGGAUGCCAGCGUAUUACUUUUAAUGCUCCGGAGAAACCGUUUGGAAUAUCCCCGUCGUCUCAAGCUAGCAAACAACACAGAGAUCGCCUUAUCCCGGUCUGUCGGAUAUGAGGAUAUACGGUGAAAUCUAAUGAUUUGGGAUUUAAUUAUUCCCUUAAAGGUAUGCUUAGGGUGAAAGCUAGCUUUAUGUAAUAACGCAUGGGUAUCAGUCGGCUUAAAAUACACCUUGGCUCCUAUAAUAUCGUCUAAAAAGCGGAGAUAAAAGGAGGGUUUAAAAGGACAUUUUUCCAGUGCUUCCCUCUCCCAUUCGCUCAUAUACAGGUUGGCAUAGGAGGGGGCAUAUCUGUGUCCCAUUGCCGUUCCCUGGACCUGUAUAUAGUGCUGCUUCCCAAAGGUAAAGUCAUUACAAGUCAGACAGAUUUCCAAUAAUUUUAAUAUCUCUUCAUCUGGUCUGCUUUUAUCCGGAUACCUGUUAAAAAUAGUAUGGAUUGUCUGUAAUCCCGUACGAGUGUCUAUAUUUGUGUAUAAACUAUCUAUGUCUAUAGUAAAUAAUAGAGCCUCACUCGGUAAAAUUAGCGGUUGAAUUUUUUCAAUGAAAUGAUAUGUAUCUUUUAGAUAACUAGGAUGUCUGAUAGAGAGGGGGCCCAAAAAUGAAUCAAUAUAUUGAGAAAUAUUAUAUGUUGCACUAUUACAAUCAGAGACAAUUGGCCUACCCGGAGGAAUCACAUGUGGGACCGUCCACGUAUGUGGUUCUUUGUGGAUUUUUGGGAGGAGAUAAAAGCGGCGUUCACGGGGAUUGUCAGAGCCAAAAAGAAAAUCUCGCUGUUUAGCGGUAAUGUAUUUUUUCCGGUAUAAGUUCUGAAUUAUUGUCCUAAUUUCGUUUUGCGUUGUUUGUUGGAGGCUAGCUUGUAUAGGUUUGUAAUAAUUUUCAUUUGACAAUUGUCUAUUGGCCUCCAACGCAUAUUGCUGUUUGUCCAUAAUGACGAUUUUAGACCCCUUAUCUGCCGGUUUUAUAAUAAUAUGGGGGUUGUUCUGGAGAGACCUGAUGGUUUUCUCUUCUCCUUGGUGAGAUGAAAUAUUAUUUGUUUGUUUAAUUAAUGGAAUAUAACGGUUGAGACUACGAACGUCUUGUUGAAUUAACCUUUUUACCCUAUCAUCCAAGUAGUCCCACGCGGGUUCCCAGUUGGAGGGGGAGGUAAAUGGCGUUUUGUCCGUUUUGGCAUUUUGAAAAUAGUCCAGUAAUUUUAUUUUUCUGUGAUACUGGUAUACGUCUCUGCGCAGUUCCUCCGUGUCAAAAAAACGUGGAGUUGGAAUAAAAGUAAGACCCCUCUCUAGCAGAUUAAUCUGAGCUUGAUCGGGCUGAAAUAAUGUAGAUAAAUUUAAGAUGUUUGAUUCUGACUCCCAGAUGAGCUCUGUCGCAGCGGCAGCAGUCCGAUUGUGCGUAACUGGCCGUCGGCGGGCCGGGUGCGUCACAGCGGUAGGGAGAAAUACAGAAGAAACGAGCGAUUCCCCGGAAGAGCAGGAAAAGUUGUUCUCUCUUCCGAGUGCCUGCAUCGGCUCAGGCCCACAGACAGCACCACCACCUUCGUGUGUGGAUGAGGAGGGGUCUUUUCCAACAGUUUCCAAAGGUGUCGCAUGCCGCCGUACCGAGGGAUUCUGGAGACCCCGCUCACCAGAGGCAAGUAUAGUUUUUGUGGUGGGGGGAUCAGAGAGGUUGUUUGUGCUUAGGUCGUCUGCAUUAUUAUGCUUAUCAGACCCGCAUCUCAUCAUAUGUUUCCUCCCCACCUCUAUUUGGGUAGGUAACGUCACCACUGCCUCUGGCUGGGGGUCCAGGUCCAGUCCCGAUGUCAUUGUGGGUCCUGUGGAGGAAACAGGGUUUCCCUUUUCUGUAGGGGCUGACGAAGUCCUCCUCUGAGGCUGAUUGAUUUGAGUUAGUGUGUUUUUCUGACAGAACAAUCUCUCCCUCCCGAUUACUGGUUGGACUAAAGGGAGGGGGGCCAUAUGGAGGACAGGGGAGAGGGGAAGUGAGCGCAGUGAGAGGAAGGGAAGCAGGAGUCACCCUCAAAAGAUGAGGGUGGGUCUGAGAUGCUCCCUGGACUGUCUCUGCCGUUCUAAGUUUUUUGAGGAGGACAAUAGGAGACAGUGGUAUUAAAGGGGGCUUCCUGGUCUCCUGGUCCGGGGGGAUUUUUAACAUACGCUCUGACACCUUCGGCGUAGAUUGUUCCUGGGGGGGAGGGAGGCUCACUAGGUUCUCCUCACAACCAUUUAGGACAUGAUCCACUAGGGCGGGUUUUGGUCCUAGAUAGAGGGAUUUCUGAUAGGUAGUCGGCCUAUUAGGUAUAGGGAGGGGUGGAAAUUCCCGGAUGUCCCCCAGAUUCAGUCCCCUGGGCUCCGCAUCAUUUGCCGGUGACUGUAUAGAUGAUGGAGGUAAAGUAUUACAGGUAAGUGGUACAUUACUGUGGGACUGUAGUAGAGCCUGUGCUUUUUCUACCGUCUGAGGGCUCAAUUUAGUUUUGUAGCGUUUUUGGGCCCACUUUACUGCAACCUGGAAUGCUACCUCAUUAAAAGAGUUGCUGUUGCUCAUAAGAAUUAUUCUGUUGUAAUGUUCUUGCAGGAUGAGGAGGUUCUUAGUCAUCCAGGCCUCAGUAUUGUUAGCUAUGGCCUGUUUAACUACAUCUGAAGUGUUCUCAUUCCUAUUGGGUCCUCUGCUUACCACUGGAUGGCUGGAACGGACCGCCUUGGACCUGUGGGCAAAAGCCAUUGUUAGAGUGAGGCCUACCUGAGCCUGGGCCCGAUGGCUCCCCAGGCCAAAGUCCUGUGGCAGCAGAUCUCAGGAGCAGUUGCUUGUAUUCCACACUCUCCAGGAUCUGUAAAAGCAGAGUCUGCAAGCCGGUAGGUGGAGAGCAGGUUAAAUUCUUAGCAACAGUUCAAGUUGUUUGCUUGUCUUCCUGUAGUCGAUGUUAGUGCUGCAAUCCAGGAGGUGGUGAUAGAAAAAGUUUGUUGUAAGAGGUGGCUCACUCUGAACUGUUAAAAAAGUAAUUUUAUUUAAUUAAGAAGUUAAAAAAAUUAUUAUAAAACCCACUGCAGAAUACCUGCCAGUGGAAUAAUAAAACCCAGUAAAAUCUGGUUAAAAAGAGGUCCUUGGUUGGGUCCUAUGCAGCCAAUUUCCCUAACGUUUCGCAGUGUCAACUGCUUCUUCAGAGGGAUCUUCAGUAGUGAGAGGCCCAGCCAUUUUGAAGAGUUGUGGGAGGGAAAAGUUCAUCCCUCCCACAAGCUUCAAUGGCUUUCCUGAUUGGUCAGCUUUGGGAUGUACCUGACCGGCCUUCUUAAAGGAGCAAAGACCACUAAGGUAAGUAAAACUAAUAGAGAAUAACACUAAAAAAGCAGCCAGAAGGACCGCCGAAAGAAUGCUGUGCUGUGUGAUAGUCAUCCUCUCUCUAUCUUUGUUUGUUGCUAUUCUAGUAUAUAUGUAGGGGGAGGAACAUUCACCCGGAGUGGGUGAGCUUCAUCAACUAUUGAGAAUAGUAAAUACUGAGUCCCAUAACCCUGGGAUCUAAAGGAGCUGUUUGAUAGGGGAAGACAGCUGACUGGUACUCGAUGGUGUCCCCUGGUGGUAAGUAGGUGUCUUCAUAAGCAAGCCCUCAAAUCUGUUAAGAUAAAAAGGAUAAAAUAGGUGGUGAUGCUGUCUGCGGGAUCCAACGCGGAAGAGAGGCCAGA